UCCAAGGUAUUUCUGAGAAGACGGAAUAUCCACAUUUUUUUUUUUAUGGACCAUUGCAAGGCAUUUAUUUGAGAACUCAAUCGAGAAAUUCAGAUAUUACACACUUAUGCUCUUCCUUAGUCCUUUGCAAUGUGCAAAAGACUUCGCGCGCUACCACAACUUAUUUACCACCAACACCUAGUAGGUAUUUCCGCACACACAAUCGUACCAUAGUGAACUUGAAUAUUUCGCUAAAAGUAUAGACUAACUAAAUAUUAACCCCGAAAAAUUCAAACACUUAUAGAUAUGCCUGAAGUUAAGAAAAAGGGAUUGCAGAAUGUAUUUUCUCAAUCUUUAAUGCUUUAUAAAGUCGUUGUCAUUGGCUAAGAUAAAAGUCAUUUAGAAAUAAAUCAAAUAGAGUUGAAUGGAAAUUUGA